GGGCCCGCACAAGCGGUGGAGUAUGUGGUUUAAUUCGAUGCAACGCGAAGAACCUUACCAGGGUUUGACAUCCUGCGAAUCUCUUGGAAACAGGAGAGUGCCUUCGGGAACGCAGUGACAGGUGGUGCAUGGCUGUCGUCAGCUCGUGUCGUGAGAUGUUCGGUUAAGUCCGGCAACGAGCGCAACCCUCGUUUCCAGUUGCCAGCGGGUAAUGCCGGUGACAAACCGGAGGAAGGUGUGGAUGACGUCAAGUCAUCAUGCCCCUUACGUCCUGGGCUACACACGUACUACAAUGCUACGGACAAAGAGCAGCUAACUCGCGAGAGU
rnacentral:rRNA from 1 species